AAGUCGUAACAAGGUUUCCGUAGGUGAACCUGCGGAAGGAUCAUUAUCAUCCUUUUUUUAUUUUAUUUUUGUAUUCACUUACAAAAUAAAAUAAAAACAAUAAACCAAUCGUGAACCGUUUUGCCUCCAAUGAAAAUUUGAGUGAGUGCACUUUAACUGUUUGAUACAAAAAACCAAUUUUUGUUGUUUUCGUUUGUUUUUUUGUGUUUAUGUUAUUGUGCCAUGAUUUCACCGUCACGCUCUUUUUCAUUGGUUGUAUUUUUUUUUCAAAAACAAAUUAUUUACCUUUUAAACAAAUUCAUUCAUAUUUUUAUGAACUGAAAAAAAGAGUUAAAAAAUAAUAAUGUAAAAUUAUAAAACAACUCUUAGCAACGGAUAUCUUGGUUCUC
rnacentral:misc_RNA from 1 species